rnacentral:rRNA from 1 species
CCUACGGGAGACAGCAGUGGGGAAUAUUGGUCAAUGGCCGGAAGGCUGAACCAGCCAAGCCGCGUGAAGGACGAAGGUGCCAAGCAUUGUAAACUUCUUUUGUCAAGGGACAAAAUCAGGCUCGAGCGCCUGACCGAGGGUCCUUGAAGUACAAGCAUCGGCUAACUCCGUGCCAGCAGCCGCGGUAAUACGGGGGAUGCGAGCGUUAUCCGGAUUUAUUGGGUUUAAGGGGUGCGUAGGCGGGCUGUUACGUCAGCGGUAAAAGCCCGGGGCUCAACCCCGGCGAGCCGUUGAAACUGGGUGUCUUGAGAUGUCGAGAGGCAUGCGGAAUGCGGAGUGUAGCGGUGAAAUGCUUAGAUAUUGCGCAGAACUCCGAGUGCGAAGGCAGAAUACCGGCGGCGAUCUGACGCUGAGGCACGAAAGCGUGGGGAGCGAACAGGAUUAGAUACCCGUGUAGUC